AUCAUUAGUUGCUACGCAAGGGCACUCUAAUGAGACUGCCGGUGACAAACCGGAGGAAGUGGGGAUGACGUCAAGUCCUCAUGGCCCUUAUGGGUAGGGCUUCACACGUCAUACAAUGGUCGGUACAGAGGGUUGCCAAGCCGCGAGGCGGAGCCAAUCCCACAAAGCCGAUCGUAGUCCGGAUUGUUCUCUGCAACUCGAGAGCAUGAAGUCGGAAUCGCUAGUAAUCGCAGGUCAGCAUACUGCGGUGAAUACGUUCCCGGGUCUU
rnacentral:rRNA from 1 species